rnacentral:rRNA from 1 species
GGCGGCAUGCUUUACACAUGCAAGUCGAGCGGCAGCGCGGGGGCAACCCUGGCGGCGAGCGGCGAACGGGUGAGGAAUACAUCGGAACGUACCCCGGAGUGGGGGAUAACGCCGCGAAAGCGGCGCUAAUACCGCAUAUGCUCUGAGGAGGAAAGUGGGGGACCCGCAAGGGCCUCACGCUCUGGGAGCGGCCGAUGUCCGAUUAGCUUGUUGGUGAGGUAAUGGCUCACCAAGGCGACGAUCGGUAGCUGGUCUGAGAGGAUGAUCAGCCACACUGGGACUGAGACACGGCCCAGACUCCUACGGGAGGCAGCAGUGGGGAAUUUUGGACAAUGGGGGCAACCCUGAUCCAGCCAUGCCGCGUGAGUGAAGAAGGCCUUCGGGUUGUAAAGCUCUUUCAGACGGAAAGAAAACGCAUCGGUGAAUACCCGGUGUGGAUGACGGUACCGUAAGAAGAAGCACCGGCUAACUACGUGCCAGCAGCCGCGGUAAUACGUAGGGUGCGAGCGUUAAUCGGAAUUACUGGGCGUAAAGCGUGCGCAGGCGGUUAUGUAAGACAGAUGUGAAAUCCCCGGGCUCAACCUGGGAACUGCGUUUGUGACUGCAUAACUAGAGUACGGCAGAGGGAGGUGGAAUUCCGCGUGUAGCAGUGAAAUGCGUAGAUAUGCGGAGGAACACCGAUGGCGAAGGCAGCCUCCUGGGCCAGUACUGACGCUCAUGCACGAAAGCGUGGGGAGCAAACAGGAUUAGAUACCCCGGUAGUCCACGCCCUAAACGAUGUCAACUAGUUGUUCGGUGAGGAGACUCAUUGAGUAACGCAGC